rnacentral:rRNA from 1 species
CCCAACUAUCCCUAUUAAUCAUUACGUCAAUCCUAGAAACCAACAAAAUAAGAUCAAACGUCCUAUUUCAUUAUUCCAUGGUAAUGUAUUCAAGCGUUAGCCUGCUUUAAACACUCUAAUUUUUUCAAAGUAACAGUCCUGUUUCCCCGCAACACCAAAUUAAUGGCAUUACGGUUCAUCAGGAAGGAGGAACCAGUAAGACCAGUACAUACCAUUGGCACGACCAACCUGCUGACCCCGAAAUUCAACUA